CUCAUUUCAAGUGCUCAUUAGCCAUAUGAGGCUAGUAGCCUUUAGAUAGGGUCCAGAGGGUGAUGUGCAACAGAGCAGUGUGCAACCUGUGCAACUGUUCAUGGAGGCCUUGGUGCUGAUCUAGGUAAGCUAUGUACCGUAAGCUACCAGGAAAAGCAGAAUCGACGUGGUGGGGGAGAAGCCAGGAACUGAUGCUUAAGCUGGGUGAGGUCCAAGUGACUCUUGCCAGCUGAUAACCAGGAAACCAGCCCAGGAGUCAGGAACCAAGAACAGGAACAGGACAAAGAAUGGUACAUUACAGGGACAAGGGACAAAGGUUUGGCUGGAAGUAUUGAGGGCUGCUUUGUAGGAGGUUUGGUUUCCUGGUGCAGGAACAUAUCUCCAGCCUCAUCAGGAAGCAGAUGAGCCAGGAGUUCAGUGCAGUGAACUGGGAGGCUGAAAGUCACCUCCAUGCUGGCACCUGGCCCACAGCAUUGGGCUGGAAGUGUUUUCAGGUCCCGCGAUGUGAGCUGCGUCUCCUGUGUGUUAUGAGCUCAGGACUGGAUGUAGAAGAGUACUAGAUCAAUCAGUGAGGACAAGUGGGAAACGCAAGGAAUAGUUCCAUGUCAGAAAUCAGCCAUCUGGAAGACAAAGCCACAUGAAGCUGAAGUCUAAUAUUAAGACUGAUGCUGACUCUUCCAGUCCUUUUUCAGAGCCGUAGAGCACAGGGGAGACCGCAGACAGAGGGAGACUUUUCAUAACACGUCUCCAGAUGCCUUCUUCUUUCAUGUGUUCAUUAAAUGUACUUACUCUUUGACUUGCACUUAAAGACUUAUGUGUUAAAUAAUUUUUGAUUUAUGUAUAUGUAUAAUCUAUGCCUUAAAUAUCUGUCCAUAAUUUCAUUCUCUGUCUUGAAUUCCAAGCUCCUAGAAAGUGCAGACUCUGCACUACAUGAGUAAUAUUGCUUUGUAAAAUGCUUGGCAU
rnacentral:lncRNA from 1 species